rnacentral:rRNA from 1 species
UACGGAGGAUGCAAGCGUUAUCCGGAUUCAUUGGGUUUAAAGGGUGCGUAGGCGGACUAUUAAGUCAGUGGUGAAAGCCUGCAGCUUAACUGCAGAACUGCCAUUGAUACUGAUAGUCUUGAGUUUUGUUAAGGUAGGCGGAAUGUGUAAUGUAGCGGUGAAAUGCUUAGAUAUUACACAGAACACCAAUUGCGUAGGCAGCUUACUGAGCCGACACUGACGCUGAGGCACGAAAGCGUGGGGAUCGAACA